rnacentral:tRNA from 1 species
GUGCUGGUGGUUCAGUGGUAGAACUCUCACCUUCCACGCAGGAGGUCCAGAUUCUAUUCCUGGCCAAUGCU